rnacentral:rRNA from 1 species
GAUGAACGCUAGCUACAGGCUUAACACAUGCAAGUCGAGGGGUAACGAGAGGAAAGCUUGCUUUCCUUGUCGACGACCGGCGCACGGGUGAGUAACGCGUAUCCAACCUGCCCCCAACUAAGGAAUAACCUUGCGAAAGUAAGACUAAUACCUUAUAAUUUCCUCAGAUGUCAUCUGACGAGGAAUAAAGAUUUAUCGGUUGUGGAUGGGGAUGCGUCUGAUUAGCUUGUGGGCGGGGUAACGGCCCACCAAGGCAACGAUCAGUAGGGGUUCUGAGAGGAAGGUCCCCCACAUUGGAACUGAGACACGGUCCAAACUCCUACGGGAGGCAGCAGUGAGGAAUAUUGGUCAAUGGGCGAAAGCCUGAACCAGCCAAGUAGCGUGCAGGAUGACGGCCCUAUGGGUUGUAAACUGCUUUUAUACAGGAAUAAAGUUAGCCACGUGUGGUUAUUUGUAGGUACUGUAUGAAUAAGGACCGGCUAAUUCCGUGCCAGCAGCCGCGGUAAGAC